rnacentral:rRNA from 1 species
AGAGUUUGAUCCUGGCUCAGGAUGAACGCUGGCGGUGUGCCUAACACAUGCAAGUCGAACGAAGUAGCAAUACUUAGUGGCGAACGGGUGAGUAACGCGUAGGUAUUUGCCCCAAACCGGGAAAUACCCAGCCGAAAGGUUGGUUAAUGUCCCAUAGUCCCGCAAGGGUAAAGAUUUAUCGGUUUGGGAGAAACCUGCGUCCUAUCAGCUAGUUGGUGAGGUAACGGCUUACCAAGGCUAUGACGGGUAGCUGGUCUGAGAGGAUGAUCAGCCACAAUGGGACUGAGACACGGCCCAUACUCCUACGGGAGGCAGCAGUGGGGAAUAUUGGACAAUGGGCGAAAGUCUGAUCCAGCAAUACCGCGUGAAUGAUGAAGGCCUUAGGGUUGUAAAGUUCUUUUAGUAGGGAAGAUAAUGACGGUACCUACAG